UACGAAGGGGGCUAGCGUUGCUCGGAAUCACUGGGCGUAAAGGGUGCGUAGGCGGGUUUUUAAGUCAGGGGUGAAAUCCUGGAGCUCAACUCCAGAACUGCCUUUGAUACUGAAAAUCUUGAGUAUGGGAGAGGUGAGUGGAACUGCGAGUGUAGAGGUGAAAUUCGUAGAUAUUCGCAAGAACACCAGUGGCGAAGGCGGCUCACUGGCCCAUAACUGACGCUGAGGCACGAAAGCGUGGGGAGCAAACAGG
rnacentral:rRNA from 1 species